rnacentral:rRNA from 1 species
GACGAACGCUGGCGGCGUGCUUAACACAUGCAAGUCGAACGGAAAGGCCCUGCUUUUGUGGGGUGCUCGAGUGGCGAACGGGUGAGUAACACGUGAGUAACCUGCCCUUGACUUUGGGAUAACUUCAGGAAACUGGGGCUAAUACCGGAUAGGAGCUCCUGCUGCAUGGUGGGGGUUGGAAAGUUUCGGCGGUUGGGGAUGGACUCGCGGCUUAUCAGCUUGUUGGUGGGGUAGUGGCUUACCAAGGCUUUGACGGGUAGCCGGCCUGAGAGGGUGACCGGCCACAUUGGGACUGAGAUACGGCCCAGACUCCUACGGGAGGCAGCAGGGGGGAAUAUUGCACAAUGGGCGGAAGCCUGAUGCAGCAACGCCGCGUGCGGGAUGACGGCCUUCGGGUUGUAAACCGCUUUCGCAUGUGACGAAGCGUGAGUGACGGUAAUGGGUAAAGAAGCACCGGCUAACUACGUG